rnacentral:rRNA from 1 species
UACGGAGGGAGCUAGCGUUGUUCGGAAUUACUGGGCGUAAAGCGCACGUAGGCGGCUUUGUAAGUUAGAGGUGAAAGCCCGGGGCUCAACCCCGGAACUGCCUUUAAAACUGCAUCGCUUGAAUCCGGGAGAGGUGAGUGGAAUUCCGAGUGUAGAGGUGAAAUUCGUAGAUAUUCGGAAGAACACCAGUGGCGAAGGCGGCUCACUGGACCGGCAUUGACGCUGAGGUGCGAAAGCGUGGGGAGCAAACAGG